ensembl:lncRNA
UAAAAAUACACGAAUUAUUCUUUUGGCGAUCCGACUUGUGUAUGAUGGAAAGGAAAUGCAGGUUAACAAAUGAGACCAGUUGUGACAUCAUCAGGUCACAUGACCAGGAAGUUUAACCCUCUGGAGUCGACUCACGCAAAUACGCGUUUUGUGGCAUAUUCUCCUGAUAAGACCGAAAAGAACUGAAAUUACACUUUCAGUUUUGAUCGUACAGAUAAGAGAAAUACAUCAAUCAAAUCUAUAAAGUGUCUACUUUUAUUUCUAUACACACAUAAAUACAACAAAACUUUGUGCAUUUAUAAAAUAAAAAAAACAAACAGAGUGCGCUGUCUGCCGCCUUGCUUCUGUGUGAUCUUCAUUUAGAAACGCGUCAUAUCGAGCAUGCUAUUGAUAUUGUAAUCGUCCAUGUGAAGCUCGCAGCGGGUAAUCACCCACAUCAGAGC